GGUUCCCGGCAAAGAGGUGAAAACAGCCUCAAAAUUGAAGAUUUUUAGUAAUUGUUGUUAUUUAAUGAAAGUGACACCGAGAUCAUGCGAUGGUAACAUGCUAUUCUAUUACCACAAAUUUAUAGUUUUUUUUUUUGUGGGAAUUCCAGAUCUUGGACCAAUUCUUCUUCUAUACGCAGAAUCAUCUCAAAAUGGCGGGAGUAAAUCCCGAGUUAAAAUUUCAACGUUUCCCAGGCUUCACGUUCAGCUUUAUUGCAUAGUUGUGCUUAUUAUUUUAUUUUUAUUUUAUUUUGAACUUAGUUAGAGCAUAAUUAACCCACAAACAUCAUUGGGUCUCUUAAUAAAUAUUUUACUAAUUAAAUGUAAUUAAGAACCUUGUUUAAGAAACACUUUGAUUCAUACCCUCCAAUGGUAGUUUCUUAUUUAGGGGUUCCUAAAAAAAUAUUGUUUUUUAUUGCUAAAAAAAAACAAGACCAAACCAUGCAAAUAAGCAUAGCAAUGAAUACCCACAAUGUGUUCAUCCAAGAUGUUAUAUAUGAGGCAAAAGAGAUACUGCAUCCAAGAUGUUCAAUUCCAUUGGUCCAUAUGAGUAAACAUUUGUUAUUUUAAUUCACUUUGCAGUUAAUAUAAACAAAGACGUUGUUUUAUACUAAAGAAGAAAAAUGCAAGAACACACUUUACCAUUUCAAACUAGGAUCACAAGACAUGGUUGGCUCCUGUCAAAUGAAUCUUGGUGUGCUGCAACUUCACUAAACGAAUUCCAAACCACCUAGGCUUUCAUUCAGCAAAGAACCUGAACAAACGGAAGUAAUACAAAGGGAAAGGUCAAAACACAGCAAAAAAAAAUCAUCACAGUUCACAUCUAUACAAGUCUCCGAUCAUCUUGCACUGAUUCCAUAGAUACAGAGACCAACCUAAUAAACCAUUCUCAGCUUAAAAAAAACAUUAGGCUACAAUGACACCAAUCUUUUGUCAGCCCAAACUACAAAGAUCAACACUUUUUUCAUGACCAGAUGAUCAUUAGAGCAAAACUCAAUCUCAGCAAUCAAUACAUUGCUUUUAAGAAACUAAAAAAAAAAACUUUGAAUAAAGACCAGAGAGGAAGACGUACAAGUGUUAGCUGAGAUGGAUCUUGUUGUUGAUGACAGUGCUGAACCAGCAACAGAGAAAGAAGCAAGGAGAAGCCAUAUCAACAUUCCUUUCCCUCUGUUCAGCCUCUCCAUAAGCUUUCUUCUAUGCUUAAUCCCGAAACCCCUAAUUUCAUUCCAGAAGAUGGCGAGUCAGUUAAAAACCCUAAUUUUUAGAAACAGAGAGAAGAGAAGCAAAGACCUGACGAAAUCUAUGGCUGGGGAAGUGAGAUUAAAAAUUGAGGAGAUGGGUUUUGUUUUGGGAGAUGUGAUUGACUCGAAAGAGUGAAGCUUUAUCCAAUUUCCUCCUCACGAGAUUCUUCAGAGAUUGAUCAAAGAUCGCGAGAUGGUUAAAGAAUCAACUAGAGCCAGAGAGUUGUCGUUUCUGUUUCGAGAGAGAAAGCAAAGAACCAAAGAAAGGUCUGAAACUCACUAAAUUUUGACACCUGUCUCCUAACAUACGUUUCUUCCUUCUCCUAACUAAGCGACGUAUCUUCUAUUUAC
rnacentral:lncRNA from 1 species